GAUGAACGCUAGCGGCAGGCUUAAUACAUGCAAGUCGUGGGGCAGCACAGAGUAGCAAUACUUGGGUGGCGACCGGCAAACGGGUGCGGAACACGUACGCAACCUUCCUUCAGGCGGGGA
rnacentral:rRNA from 1 species